UACGGAGGGUGCAAGCGUUAUCCGGAUGCACUGGGUUUAAAGGGUGCGUAGGAGGGCAGGUAAGUCAGUGGUGAAAUCUCCGAGCUUAACUUGGAAACUGCCGUUGAUACUAUCUGCCUUGAAUAUUGUGGAGGUGAGCGGAAUAUGUCAUGUAGCGGUGAAAUGCUUAGAUAUGACAUAGAACACCAAUUGCGAAGGCAGCUCGCUACACAUAUAUUGACUCUGAGGCACGAAAGCGUGGGGAUCAAACAGG
rnacentral:rRNA from 1 species